AAGGAAGACUAGUGUUAUUCAUCUUAAUUAGGUUUAAAGGGUACCUAGACAGUAUUUCYAGCCYMMAAAGGGWACAGACUUACUAGAGUUUUAUGUGAGAGGUARAUAUUAGAACCAUUGGAGUAGAGAUAAAAUGUUUUGAUACUAAUGGGACGGAUAACGGCGAAGGCAARCCUCUAWRUAAUAACUGACGUUGAGGGACGAAGSCUWGGGGAGCAAAUAGGAUUAGAUACCCUAGUAGUCCAAGCAGAGAAUUAUGAAUGUUAUAGAYYAAAWUAUUUGGUGUAUWAAUGAAAGUGUAAGCAUUCCACCUCAAGAGUAAUGCGGCAACGCAGGAACUGAAAUCAUUAGACCGUUUCUGAAACCAGUAGUGAAGUAUGUUAUUUAAUUCGAUAACCCUCGAAAAACCUUACCACAAUUUGAAUGGUAUUUAUUUUAGGUUUAGACUUAAGAUAAAUAUUACAAGUGUUGCACGGCUGUCUUCAGUUAAUGUCGUGAGACUUUGGUUAGAUCCAUUAAAUUAACGUAAACCCUUGCUUUAUUUUAUACAUAAAGCAGUUCACCAAUUUAUUGGAUAUGAUAACAGGGAUUAAGACAAGUCAUCAUGACCUUAAUAUUGUGGGCUAUAGACGUGCCACAUAUGUUUGUACAAAAGGAGGCAAAAAUGCGAAUUUUAGCUAACCCUUAAAACAGAAUAUAAAAAUGGAUUGUAGUCUGAAACUCGACUGCAUUAAUUAGGAAUU
rnacentral:rRNA from 1 species